rnacentral:rRNA from 1 species
AUUGAACGCUGGCGGCAGGCCUAACACAUGCGAGUCGAGCGGAUGAAUGGAGCUUUCUCCUGUAUUCAGCUUCGGACGGGUGAGUAAUUCCUAUGAAUCUGCCUGGUAUUGGUUUAUAACGUCCGUAAACCGGCGCUAAUACCGCAUACGUCCUGAUGGUGAAAGUUGUUGAUCUUCGGACCUCACGCUAUCACAUGAGCCUAGGUCGGAUUAGCUAGUUGGUGUGGUAAAGGCCUACCAAGGCGACGAUCCGUAACUGGUCUGAGAGGAUGAUCAGUCACACUGGAACUGAGACACGGUCCAGACUCCUACGGGAGGCAGCAGUGGGGAAUAUUGGACAAUGGGCGAAAGCCUGAUCCAGCAAUGCCGCGUGUGUGAAGAAGGUCUUCGGAUUGUAAAGCACUUUAAGUUGGGAGGAAGGGAAGUAAGUUAAUACCUUGCUGUUAUGACGGUACCAACAGAAUAAGCACCGGCUAACUUCGUG